UAGCAAGUCCUGGAAAAUUUGUCUAUUGAACAGCAGCAAAAAGAAUCAACGCAAAAGCACGUUCCUGUGAUUUAAAAAAAUUAUAUUCGUUCGUGCAAAGUUUCUGUUUUUCAGCAGAAUCAAAUCAACUAUCAUCGUAGGUUAUCCUAUAGGUUCUACUUGGCACAAACACUAAUUAGAAGAUAAAACCACAUCUAAACAGAGGCUAGAUGGAUUAUUUAUUCCUGAACAGAAGCAAAAACAAAAAAACAAAAAAUAAAAUUGGAUUGCCUCCCAACAAGCGCUAUCGUUUAACGCCCCUAGCUAGGCAUAAAAGCAAGGAUAGAUUUAAUGCGUGCCAUAAUAAUAAGAUAGAUCUUUAAAACUCAUCUCAUAUUCUCUACAUUCGGUGGCAAGUUUUCUUUGAGGCAAGCAAAAGUAAUCAAAAGGGCUAAAUUUAGUGGGACAGAUGUCCCCAAGAUCAAUCAUAGGAGGAACGGGUUCCUCCCUUGGCCCUUCAUAGUGCACAACUAUUUCAUCACUAAAAGCAUUCUUUUGGCAAAAUUUUGUGAGCUUAUACUCAAGAGAGUAACCUAGCUCAUUGUUUCGAAGAGCAAAAUAAUUAUUAAGUUCAUUGACGCAAUCAACCAAGACAUUGAUAGGAACCUUUUUUCUAAGGUUUUCAUUAAAAGCAAUGUAGUCUGAAGAUUGAAAACGCCUAAAUUCCUCUUGAUCAUAGAGGAUCGCCUCUAUGGGAGGACGACCGGCGUCCACCCUAUAGUGCGCAAAAAUUUCUUUGGCCUCUCUUAUGAUAAAUCUAAACUCAUGAGCCAAGAAGAUAGUGACAGCACACUUAACAGAAGAAUGCUCAAUAUUGGAGAAUUCUAGGAAAAUUCUUUGUAUGCAAGGAUGCAUAUGCAUAAAUUGUCUUUCAAGUUCAACUACAAGCAUAGCGAUAGCAUCCGCAAGACUACUGGUUCUAUGAAGAAUAGAACAUCCUAAAGAAGGUAAAGCACCGGCACAAGUAAAGAAAUCUUGAAUAACGCCUUUGCCAAUGAUGUUACUACUGUCGAUCCGAAACUUUUUAGUAUGCAAGAUAGGGGGUUCAUCAGCCGGAGCCUCGGGAUUUUCCAUGUUAUGAUGAUUGUCCAUAUCGAUGAUAAUCUCCCCAAUUUCAGACAUAGCGGCAAACCAAAGCGGGGCCGAAGAAGGCGAGUGAAAAAGGUGACGGGGAAAAAAGGCAAACGGGAAAGAGAGAAGGAGAUUGGAAAAGAGAGGGCGAAUAAAACAGCAAGGGUGAAGUGGGGGAGAGGAAAACGAGAGGCAAAUAAUGUAAUGCGAGAGAUAGGGAUUGUGAUGGGUACUUGGUAUGGUUGACUUGCUUGCGUGAGCCUCCCCGGCGACGGCGCCAGAAAUUCUUCUUGCUACCUCUUGAGCACCACAUUGGAUUUCCCCGAAGAGGAGAGGAUGAUGCAGCAAAGUAGCGUAAGAAUUUCCCUUAGUUUUUGAGAACCAAGGUAUCAAUCCAGUAGGAGACCACGCACAAGUCCCUCGUACCUACACAAAACGAUAGCUACUCGCAACCAACGCGAUUAGGGGUUGUCAAUCCCUUCACGGUCAUUUACGAGGGUGAGAUCUGAUAGAGAUGAUAAAUAAUAUUUUUGGUAUUUUUGAUAUAGAGAUGCAAAGUGAAAAGUAAAAGGCAAAGUAAAAGCAAAGCAAAUAAUAAAGUGAUGGAGAUUGAUAUGAUGAGAAUAGACCCGGGGGCCAUAGGUUUCACUAGUGGCUUCUCUCAAGAGCAUAAGUAUUCUAUGGUGGGUGAACAAAUUACUGUUGAGCAAUUGAUAGAAUUGAGCAUAGUUAUGAGUAUAUCUAGGUAUGAUGAUGUAUAUAGGCAUCAUGUCCAAGACAAGUAGAUCGAAACGAUUCUGCAUCUACUACUAUUACUCCACUCAUCGACCGCUAUCCAGCAUGCAUCUAGAGUAUUAAGUUAAAACAGAGUAACGCCUUAAGCAAGAUGACAUGAUGUAGAGGGAUAAAUUCAUGCAAUAUGAUAAAAAACCAUCUUGUUAUCCUCGAUGGCAACAAUACAAUACGUGCCAUGCUGCCCCUGCUGUCACUGGAAAAGGACACCGCAAGAUUGAACCCAAAGCUAAACACUUCUCCCAUUGCAAGAACUACCAAUCUAGUUGGCCAAACCAAACGGAUAAUUCGAAGAGACUUGCAAAGAUAACUCAAUCAUACACAAAAGAAUUCAGAGAAGAUUCAAAUAUUAUUCAUAGAUAAGCUGGAUCAUAAACCCACAAUUCAUCGGUCUCAACAAACACACCGCAAAAAGAAGAUUACAUCGAAUAGAUCUCCACAAGAGAGGGGGAGAACAUUGUAUUGAGAUCCAAAAAGAGAGAAGAAGCCACCUAGCUACUAGCUAUAGACCCGAAGGUCUGAAGUAAACUACUCACACUUCAUCGGAGAGGCUAUGGUGUUGAUGUAGAAGCCCUCCGUGGUAGAUGCCCCCUCCGGCGGAGCUCCGGAACAGGCCCCAAGAUGGGAUCUCAUGGAUACAGAAAGUUGCAGCGGUGGAAUUAGGUUUUUGGCUCCGUAUUUGAUCUGUCAGGGGUACAUAGGUAUAUAUUGGAGGAAGGAGUGCGUCGGUGGAGCAACAGGGGUCCCACGAGGUAGGGGGCGCGCCCUAGGGGGGGCCCACCCUCGUGACCGCCUCUGUUACUUCUUGGAGUAGGGUCCAAGUCUCCUGGAUCACGUUCGGUGAGAAAAUCACGUUCCCGAAGGUUUCAUUCCGUUUGGACUCCGUUUGAUAUUCCGUUUCUUCGAAUGACUGAAAUAAGCAAAAACAUCAAUUCUGAGCUGGGCCUCCGAUUAAUAGGUUAGUCCCAAAAAUAAUAUAAAAGUGGAAAAUAAAGCCGAAUAUAGUCCAAAACAGUAGGUAAAGUAGCAUGGAGCAAUAAAAAAUUAUAGAUACGUUGGAGACGUAUCAGGCACCCCAAGCUUAAUUCCUGCUCGUCCUCGAGUAGGUAAAUGAUAAAAAGAGAAUUUUUGAUGCGGAGUGAUACUUUGGCAUAAUUUCAAUGUAAAUCUUCUUAAUUGUGGCAUGAAUAUUCAGAUCCGAAAGAUUCAAGACAAAAGUUCAUAUUGACAUAAAGAAUAAUAAUACUUCAAGCAUACUAAUCAAAGCAAUCAUGUCUUCUCAAAAUAGCAUGGCAAAAGAAAGUUCAUCCCUACAAAAUCAUAUAGUUAGGCUAUGCUUCAUUUUCGUCACACAAAGAUGUUCCCAACUUCUAUACCCCCGAUGACAAGCCAAGCAAUUGUUUCAUACUUAAAUAAUCUCAAACUUUUCCAACCUUCACGCAAUACAUGAGCGUGAGCCAUGGAUAUAGCACUAUGGGUGGAAUAGAAUAUGGUGAUGGGGAUUGUGUGGAGAAGACAAAAAAGGAGAAAGUAUCACAUUGACGGGGAUAAUCAACGGGCUAUGGAGAUGCCCAUCAAUUGAUGUCAACAUGAGGAGUAAGGAUUGCCAUGCAACGGAUGCACUAGAGCUAUAAAUGCUCAAAAAAAGAAAACUAGUGGUGUGCAUCCAACUUGCUUGCUCAUGAAGACCUAGGGCAUUUGAGGAAGCCCAUCGUAGGAAUAUAGAAGCCAAGUUCUAUAAUGAAAAAUUCCCACUAGUAUAAAAAGACAACUUAUGAGACUCACUACAUGAAGAACAAGGUGCUACUCUGAAGCACAAUAUAUGAGACUCACUAUAUGAAGAACAAGGUGCUACUUUGAAGCACAAUAUAUGAGACUACAUGAAGAACAAAGUGCUACUUUGAAGCACAAGUGUGGAAAAAGAGAUAGUAGCAUUGCCCUUUUUAUUUUCUUUUUUUGGGCCUUUCUCUCUUUUUUUUGGCCUUUCUCUUAUUUUUUUGUUUGGGCAAUGCUCUAAUAAUGAAGAUCAUCACACUUCUAUUGAUUACAACAUAAGGAUUACAACUCGGAACUAGAACAAGAUAUGACUCUAUAUGAAUGCCUCCGGCGGUGUACCGGGAUAGUGCAAUGAAUCAAGAGUGACAUGUAUGAAAAAUAAUGCAUGAUGGCUUUGCCACAAAUACGAUGUCAACUACAUGAUCAUGCAAUGGCAAUAUGACAAAGGUAAUGUAUGUCAUGAUGAUGAUGAUGGAAGUUGCAUGGCAAUAUAUCUCGGAAUGGCUAUGGAAAUGCCAUAAUAGGUAGGUAUGGUGGCUGUUUUGAGGAAGAUAUAAGGAGGUUUAUGUGUGAUAGAGCGUAUCAUAUCACGAGGUUUGGAUGCACCGGCGAAGUUUGCACCAACUCUCAAGGUGAGAAAGGGCAAUGCACGGUACCGAAGAGGCUAGCAAAGGUGGAAAGGUGAGAGUGCGUAUAAUCCAUGGACUCAACAUUAGUCAAAAGAACUCAUAUACUUAUUGAAAAAAUUUAGAAGUCAUCAAAAAUCAAGUACUACGCGCAUGCUCCUAGGGGGAUAGAUUGGUAGGAAAAGACCAUCGCUCGUCCCCGACCGCCACUCAUAAGGAUUCACAAGCCAGGUACACUUCAUGUUUCAAAUUUGUUACACAACUUUAACCAUACGUGCAUGCUACGGGACUUGCAAACUUCAACACAAGCAUUUCUCAAAUUCAAAAUUACUCAACUAGCACGACUUUGAUAUUAUCACCUCCAUAUCUCAAAACAAUUAUCAAGCAUCAAACUUAUCUUAGUAUUCAAUUCACUCAAAAGAAAGUUUCACAUAUCUUGAACACCAAGUAUAUUAUCAUUAAGCAAAUUACCAUGCUAAUAACGACUCUCAAAAUAAUCUAAGUGAAGCAUGAGAGAUCAAUAGUUUCUCUAAAACAAAUCCACCACCGUGCUCUGAAAGAUCUAAGUGAAGCACUAUAGCAAAAAUUAUCACGCUCAAAAGAUAUAAGUGAAGCACAUAGAGUAUUCUAGCAAAUUCCAAUUCAUGUAUGUCUCUCUCAAAAGGUGUGUACAGCAAGGAUGAUUGUGGUAAACUAACAAGCAAAUACGCAAAUAAUACAAGAUGCUCCAAGCAAAACACAUAACAUGUGGUGAAUAAAAAUAUAGCUCCAAGUAAAUUACCGAUGGAAGUAGAAGAAAGAGGGGAUGCCUUCUGGGGCAUCCCCAAGCUUUGAAUUUUUGGUGUCCUUGGAUUAUCUUGGGGGUGCCAUGGGCAUCCCCAAGCUUAGGCUCUUUCCACUCCUUGUUCCAUAAUCCAUCAAAAGAAUUCACCCAAAACUUGAAAACUUCACAACACAGAACUCAAUAGAAAUCUCGUGAGCUCCGUUAGAGAAAGAAAACAAAAGACUACUUCAAGGUACUGUAAUGAACUCAUUCUUUAUUUAUAUUGGUGUUAAACCUUAUGUAUUCCAACUUCUCUAUGGAUUAUAAACUAUUUUACUAGCCAUAGAUUCAUCAAAAUAAGCAAAUAACACACACAAAACAGAAUCUGUCAAAAACAGAACAGUCUGUAGCAAUCUGUAACUAAUGCAAACUUCUGGAACUUUAACAAUUCUACCAAAAUAGUAAGUCCUGGAAAAUUUGUCUAUUGAACAUCAGCAAAAAGAAUCAACGCAAAAUCACGUUCCUGUGAUUUAACAAAAUUAUAUUCGUGCGCGCAAAGUUUCUGUUUUUCAGCAGAAUCAAAUCAACUAUCAUCGUAGGUUAUCCUAUAGGUUCUACUUGGCACAAACACUAAUUAAAAGAUAAAACCACAUCUAAACAGAGGCUAGAUGGAUUAUUUAUUCCUAAACAGAAGCAAAAACAAAAAAACAAAAAAU
rnacentral:lncRNA from 1 species